UACGUAGGGUGCGAGCGUUGUCCGGAAUUACUGGGCGUAAAGAGCUCGUAGGUGGUUUGUCGCGUUGUUCGUGAAAACUCACAGCUUAACUGUGGGCGUGCGGGCGAUACGGGCAGACUUGGAGUACUGCAGGGGAGACUGGAAGUUCCUGGUGUAGCGGUGGAAUGCGCAGAUAUCAGGAGGAACACCUAUGGCGAAGGCAGCUCGCUGGGACGGUAUUGACGCUGAGACGCGAAAGCGUGGGGAGCGAACAGG
rnacentral:rRNA from 1 species